rnacentral:rRNA from 1 species
AUAGCGUAUAUUAAAGUUGUUGCGGUUAAAAAGCUCGUAGUUGGAUCUCAGUUCAUGCUAUGUGGUCCACCUUAUGGUGGUUACUGCUUAGCUGAACAUUUUACAGAUUUGUCUCUUGAUGCUCUUCACCGAGUGUCAUGAGCGAUCUGUACGUUUACUUUGAACAAAUUAGAGUGCUUAAAGCAGGCAUCUCGCCCGAAUAAUCAUGCAUGGAAUAAUGGAAUAGGACCUUGGUUCUAUUUUGUUGGUCUUCGGAAUCCGAGGUAAUGAUUAAGAGGGACAGACGGGUGCAUUCGUAUUGCGGCGCUAGAGGUGAAAUUCUUGGACCGUCGCAAGACGAACUACAG